GCAAUCGCCCUUGAGUUUGAUAUGGCUCAGGAUUAACGCUAGCGGCAGGCAUAAUACAUGCAAGUUGAACGGGAUCAGAGGUAGCAAUACUUCUGUGAGAGUGGCGCACGGGUGCGUAACGCGUAUGCAACCUGCCUCCAACUGGGGAAUAGCCCCUCGAAAGAGGGAUUAAUACCGCAUAACAUAAUGAGUAGGCAUCUACUUAUUAUUAAAACUACGGUGGUUGGAGAUGGGCAUGCGUGACAUUAGCUAGUUGGUGAGGUAAUGGCUCACCAAGGCUACGAUGUCUAGGGGGUCUGAGAGGAUGUCCCCCCACACUGGUACUGAGAUACGGACCAGACUCCUACGGGAGGCAGCAGUAGGGAAUAUUGGUCAAUGGGCGAAAGCCUGAACCAGCCAUGCCGCGUGCAGGAUGAAGGCCCUAUGGGUCGUAAACUGCUUUUGUACGGGAAGAAACCCCACUACGUGUAGUGGGUUGACGGUACCGUGAGAAUAAGGAUCGGCUAACUUCGUGCCAGCAGCCGCGGUAAUACGAAGGAUCCUAGCGUUGUCCGGAUUUACUGGGUUUAAAGGGAGCGUAGGCGGACUUUUAAGUCAGUGGUGAAAGCCUGCAGCUUAACUGUAGAAUUGCCAUUGAAACUGAUUGUCUCGAGUGCGGUUGAGGUCACUGGAAUGUAUCAUGUAGCGGUGAAAUGCUUAGAUAUGAUACAGAACACCAAUUGCGAAGGCAGGUGACUAAGCCG
rnacentral:rRNA from 1 species